UGGUCAGCAGUCACCUCUAAAAGACCCACUGCAGAACUGAACAUAUGAACAAAGUCAAGGUGUUGUUGACUCUGCAGGUGUGUGCAGAGACUCUAAUCGCAGUAAACAUGGUGCAGGUUCUGACAGAAAGGAUUAACUAAGACUCUGAGGUCAAAUAGUUUCAGGUUCAGUCAUGUCUGUAGCUGGAGAUGUUUGUGAAGGUUGAAGUCAGUUAGAAACCAUCACUCCCAGUAACUCAGAACAGGAACAGAAAGUAACAAAGUUUGACAGAUAAAAUUCCUGCUGAUAUAAAAGGUUUUAUAUUCAGUGAGAAACUGAGUUUACAGCCUAGAUAAUAAAAGGCCUGAAGGACAGAGUCUGUAGGUUCUAAUCAUUGCAGCUCCAUGAAUAGCUCCUCUGUCAUUUGAACCACAGUGUGAUAUUUUCCUGUAAAUGGAGUCUGAGAUGGAAAUAUCACAUGAACUAAUGGGUUUUUAUGCAGUGAGAGUGGAAAGAUUCUGAAAUGUUCCUACAUGAUGAACUGUUUAACUCUGGGUUUUGGCUUUUAGCGUCAGAAUAUUAAAGUAUUAUUUCCCAGCCCACAGUCCCUCAGGUCCAGAACCAGUAAUAAUCAGUCCAACAUGUUCAGAACCAGCUUUCCUGUCAUUCGUCUGAAUCUGCAGACAGUCUGAAGAACAGAACCAGAAACAGUGACUCUGAACUCUUUAGAUUUGAUCUAUUUCAGCUCAGCAUUUAUUCCUGCAGAAUAAAACCAGCCUUCAAUUCAUUUGGCCUCAAUGAGAUCAACUAAAGUUCAUUUAGAUGCAUUUUUACAUGAUUGUUUCUUUUACAGCUUCAGUGAUGUUUGCAGCAUGAAUUAAGUGGAGCAGAUGGAGGAAAUGUGCUGCAGUAAAGAUAGAUUUCGUUUCUCAGUAAAGAUAGAUUUGUUUCUCAGUAAAGAUAGAUUUGUUUACCAGUAAAGAUAGAUUUGUUUACCAGUAAAGAUAGCUUUCGUUUCUCAGAAACUGGUCUCUGUUUCCUCUAAAGCCACAUCCUGUUCGUGCGAGUCAAACAUCCACACCCAGUCAUUACUCAGUCUGAACCCUCCCUCUGGGCUCGGUUCCAAGCUGCUGGUGGAAAAAUACCCGACCUCACCCUUUGUGCUCUGAAUAUAAACUGGGACUCUUAUAUAAAACAGGAACCAGACUGCUGCAGUUUGGUGUUUCUUCUCCUGGUUCUGCUGUAGAAAGUUAAACUGACCUCUUUUCUCAACUGUUAGAAAAUAAAAACCUGUGUUGCUCUAACGGAUCAGAACCAAGACAACAGAACAGGGAACUUUGUAGUGAACCAGUUCUUCCUCUUUACUGUGAAUCAUUAGCAGGUUUCAACACAGACCACAGCUCUGUUCCUCACAGCGUGACCUCUAACACGUAUGUAACCACAACACCAACACAGCAGGUUAAACACGGUUGAUCUGCCUCCAUCGUUCUGGAUCAGAACUUUUUCUUUCUAUUACUUUAUAUCAGAAUAGAUCCAUUUAUGUCUGACUGUAACUACAGUACCUGCUGUUUGGACUUUUUUGUGCUCUUCCCAGAACUCAUUAACCGACAUGAUUUCCCCCUCGACAUGAAUGAGGAAGUCAUUUCAAAAGAAAACAACUCCUCCUCCUCACCUCUAGUCAUAGUUCUUGUUCUGUAUAUAUAUAUAUAUAGUGCUUUAUAAGGAAAGACCCAGUAGUGUUACAUGAGGAAAGAACCAUGAUUCAGAACCCUGUGGGCUUUUUCAGCUGUAUGGGUGGAAACCCCCAGCGUGGUGUUAACACGUCCCGCCUCAUCUCAGAACUAUUUAGUUCUUCUUAUAGUUUAGGUCUGAAUCAUGAGAUUAGAAGGUUAUAAUCUGACUGAAGCUUGAUGUUAACCAGAUUAUUUCAACACAGGCGGUUCCAGCUCUCUGUGGCGCCAGCAGCAAACCUUUCAGACGUGUAAUCUGAUCCUCCAGCUUUGAAUUUCAAAUGUUGAUGGAAAACAUGGGGGUGUGGCGUCACCAUGGCGCCUGCUUUCCUGCUGCUGUCUGUGUGUUUUUAAACACAAGUUAAACAGGGUCAAGGUUAAAUCAACGUUAGAUAAUAACCAGGUUUUCUGCUGCAUGUUGUGCUGUUCUCAGCUGGAAGUCAUCUCAGGAUGAAUUAGUGUAAACCUGACUGGUUCUGGUUUGUUGAAGCAGAGGACAGAUCUCUGAUCUGUUUGAGGCCUGCAGAGAACAGGUCUGAGCAGCUCUGCAGGAACAAACACAUUUUAUUAAAGCUACGCAACAAAGAAAAGCUUCUUCUAUUACAUACGUCUGCUAUGAGGAGAUGGUUAGUUUUAUCUUAAAUGAUUUCCUCAUGUACCGACCUGCAUUCAAUGCAAUAUAUUUCUGAGAAAGAUGACAGGUUUUCUUUACCUGCAGCAGAUCAUUCUGUCUCCUGACGGUGGAAGGCAGAGUGGACCCAGCAAGAUGUUAGAGAACCAGAGAAAUCUCUGUGGUGACAACAAUGAUGACAUAAUCAGACAGAUCAUCCGGUCUUUAUUCAGCUUCUGUGGAGGAAGUCCUGACCACUGAGAUGGGCAGAUUGUCUCCUGCAGGUUUUAAUUGUUUCCUUUUUAGAAACGACGACCCUGGAGCCUCAGGACUGGAACACCUUGAUGAGAGGAACGUGUCAAAGGUCAUCUAGUCGAUGAGAAGAGGAACCCAUUUAUUGAGCCACAGUAAACAGAGUUUCUCUGAAUUUAAGAACAACUUUAGUCAGACGGACUGAGCAGAAACUGAGAUUAAAGUUUAUUAAAAGAUCAUAAAAUAUCUGCUUCACUAAAAUGUUUUUUCAUCAGUUAUAAACUGUUUCUCUUCAUCCUUCACUUCAACUACGAGCAAAACAUUAAAACAAGUAAAAUUAUUGUUAA